GACGAACGCUGGCGGCGUGCCUAAUACAUGCAAGUAGAACGCUGAAGGAGGAGUUUGCUUCUCUGGAUGAGUUGCGAACGGGUGAGUAACGCGUAGGUAACCUGCCUGGUAGCGGGGGAUAACUAUUGGAAACGAUAGCUAAUACUGCAUAAGAGUAGAUGUUGCAUGACAUUUGCUUAAAAUUUGCAAUUGCAUCACUACCAGAUGGACUUGCGUUGUAUUAGCUAGUUGGUGGGGUAACGGCUUACCAAGGCGACGAUACAUAGCCGAACGGAGAGGGUGGUAGGCCACCCUGGGACGGAGACGCGGCCCAGACGACUGCGGGAGGGAGCAGAAGGGUAUCGUCGGCAAUGGACGGAAGUCUGGCCGAGCGAGGCCGCGUGUGUGGAGGAGGUGCUCGGUUGGUAAAGAUCGGUUGUAAGUGAAGAACGAGUGUGGGAGUGGAAGGUGCACUCUGUGACGGUAUCUUAACAGAAAGGGACGGCUAACUACGUG
rnacentral:rRNA from 1 species